AUGAUCAUACUUUAUAAGGAUCACUCUAUAGUGCGAUUGCGGUUUCUCGCCGAGCUUCUCGGAAUAUGUUUCAACCACGAUUGAGGACUGUUAGUGUAUCCUCUGAGCGGGAAGCGGCUCUCAAGCGUUUUGUGCUUUGAAGAUUUUGAUGACCGGUUCUGACUCGUUUACCGAUGUUGAGAGAAGAUCACACAGCUGACGUGU